CAAAACGACUCUCAGAGGGCCUUGCGAUCAAAAUGAUGAUGUUAGGGACCCAAGUGUCAAAACAAGUAGUAGUUUUCCAAAACACAUGACAAUUUUUGAGAAUUUUGCAGUUAAAUAAAACAUUUAGCCAAUUUGGCUUGGAGAAUAUGUUUUCCGGAAAACAAAAUUUAUGUCUAAACUUGCAGCAGCUUGGAAGGCCUACCCGGAGAAAGAGUGUUUUAAGUUCCGCUUUAAAACAGCAAAGGUUCACGAAAACGAAAGAUUUUCAAUAAACGACCUGGAAAUUAUUUAUAAGAAACUUUCGGACGAAGAUUCUUUAAAGCGUGUCGAAUUUCAGGAUAAAAAACAGGUUUGAUCAAACGGAUGGAACCGAUUAGGAACUGCUUUGGAAAAGGAUGAUUUGUUCUUCUAAGGAAUAAAAAAAAGGUUUCUCGAAUCGGCCUGAAAGAAUCAGUAACACAGUCAUAAGCAAGCAUGUCGAACUGGCCGUUUUACGAGCCACAUGUGACCCAGAGUGUAUCAGUUAUCAUUUAUAUUUUGGUAAAAUAGUUAAUAAAUAUGCUUGAAGUAUUUUCUUCUUCAAAUCUGCAUUCUUUGCUUGCAAUCUUGCAAUAUUUUUCAUGCAACAUAAGUCUUGUAUAGGUUUGGCACACCAUGGCGCUGUUUUUUGUCCAUUUUUGUCUUACCCCACGCUUGAGCAGCAUCAGUGCAAAACAUAUAUUCUACCUUCCGGAACCUACAAGAAAUAAAUUUGUGUUGAAAUCCAGCCAUUAGAUUGAGUUUAACUUUAAAAUUUUUCAAAAACAGCAAACAAGCGAUGAUAUGUUUGCACUUUUCU